rnacentral:rRNA from 1 species
UACGAAGGGGGCUAGCGUUGCUCGGAAUGACUGGGCGUAAAGGGCGCGUAGGCGGACAUCUUUGUCGGGCGUGAAAGCCCAGGGCUCAACCCUGGAAUUGCCUUUGAUACUGGCGAUCUUGAGUACGGGAGAGGUGUGUGGAACUCCGAGUGUAGAGGUGAAAUUCGUAGAUAUUCGGAAGAACACCAGUGGCGAAGGCGACACACUGGCCCGUUACUGACGCUGAGGCGCGAAAGCGUGGGGAGCAAACAGG